UCUUGGCCUGCUUCCCUCACACAUGAAAAGAAAAAAGAAAACAAAAGUAAAAAAGAAAAAUAGAUAAAUAAAAACAUAUCUUGAAGCAUAUAUGUAGCACCAAGUUUGUUUCUCUAAUCUAUUCUAGUAUAAAAAGACGUUCCAGCUAUUUACCACACAACCUGCACCGCGCUGGCUUGCUCCUCACACUGCACCUCUCCACCACACAGCACAGCACAGCACUUCUAAACGCUACCAUUUCUAAUUUCGGCUUCAAACACGCCCUGGUGAACCUUACUGGGUGUUUCAGUGGUAAUUUGAUGGUUCUCUUGAUUGUUUGAUGUGGGGAAAAAAAAGCCAUGGGAACUUAACUAAUUAUUUUUUUAGGCUUUGGAGAGAGAAGGAUGCGUUUCGUGUUUUAUUUUGACUUUAAACACGCUCUGGUGAACCUUAGUGGGGUUCCCAAUGGUACUUUCAUGGUAUUAGUUACAGUUUAAUGAGCAUUCUGUAUCACCAAUGGAAAAAAAAAAACACCUUGGAAACGCAAUUAAUUACUUUUUCAUACUUUGGCGAGUUUUGUGGGAAAAGGAUGUGUUCAGCGUUUUAUUUCGAUUUCACACACUGCCUACUGAACGUUAUUGUGGGUCUUAAUGGUGCUUUCAUGAUUCUGGUGGUAAUUUAAUAAGGAUUCUGUAUCACCAAUGAGAAAACACCCAUGAGAACCAUUUUAAUCAUGUCGGGGGUUCAAACACUCUCUGGUGAAAGUUAAAGGGGGGUUUUCAGUGGUGCUUUCAUUGCUCUGAUGAUAGUGUGAUGUGAACUCUAUCAUCAAUUGGAAACACACCCAUGGGAGCCCAAGUAAUUAUGUCUUUGGGCUUUUGAGAGAAGAAAACUUUUAAGAACACCAUCAACGUAUCAAAAAUGCUGAUGUUAUAUAUUUUGUAUAGUUUUCAUGUCAACUUUGAUUGAUAAACUUUAUAUCUACCUAUGUAUCUACCUCUGUGUGUGUGUGUGUGUGUGUGUGUGUGUGUGUGUGUGUGUGUGUGUGUGUUAGCGCGCGAUCGUUCUACACAUUUUUCAGCGCUUGUGUUUUACGAUUCCUUUCCAUCUGCGCCUCGUUAUUGCCACACGCAGACAAAAACACAUCGCCCAUUGUUCAACGUGAAGCGCGUCCUUCUGCUGUGAUCGAUGAGAGACGAGGAUGGAGGGAAAUGGAAGGCGAAGGAAAUGAGGAAAGAGAGGAAAGGCGGAGGGAGGGGAGGGGGAGGAGGAGGGAUGUCAAAGGGGAGAUGAAGGAGAGAGUAAAGUUAUCUCGCAGUAUAUAAAGAGUGAAGCACUUGUUCCCGCCUCGUCUAGCACGUAUUCAAGCCAUGGUGAGCACUGGGUUCUGGUACACGCCCGCGCGCACAUACACACGCGCGCGAGAACGGUUUCUUUUCAUACUUACAUAAUUUUUCAAGGUUUAAUUAGUUGCACUGUCACGUAUUAGUAUCACUGGUCUCUCUUUCACUUCCAACUUUCACCACCACAACACUCAACACCAUCAGAUCAUCACCACAACCACCACCACCACACCACAAGACUAUCGCCAGAAGUCAUUAAGAUUAUUCUGGUAUCGUAGUGUUGUGUUGCGGUGUUGUAUGAGUGUUGUGGUGUGGUGUGAUCCCCCAUGCAUUCACCACAACACACCACACCACACCGCCACAAUUACAAAACAAUAGCCCUUCCUUCAACGACUUCUGCGUGUGGUUACCGGGUCGCUUCACCACCACCAUCACACUACCGUACUCACAGCCACACCACCACUACAAUACCACACCAUAAAAAAAUAACCUCUUCUUCAGCGCCUUCUACGAUUAGCUGUGGCGUCCCCUGCUGCUCGUGGCGGCGGUGAGGGGCACGGAGGAGCAGGACGAAGGUGGCAGCAGCGAAGAAGAAGCCGCAGACUGGAUACCUGGCGACGAAGGAGGCGGAGAGAGAGUAUCAGACGGCGAACAGUAAGGGACGCACCGCUUACGCCAACCCUUCGUCAGGAGGCAGUGACGGUUACGGGAAAAAUAUUACAAUUUACGUGAAGAAGGAUGACGGGAAGGAAGAAAACCACAAGCUAGUCUACGAAAUUCACGGCUACGAUCCUUCAGCUCUCCUGUACGAUGAUGGUUACGGAGGGCUACGUGAUCGGCUACCCUGACGAAUACGGAUACGGGGGCGGCGGAGGCGGUGGCGGCGGCGGCGGCUAUGGGGUCUUCGGCACUGGUUAUGGCAGCUAUGGCGGCUAUGGCGGCUAUGGUGGCUAUGGUGGAGGAGGAGGAUUUCGUGGUGGUGGUGGUGGUUAUGGUGGUGGUGCUGGUUAUGGUGGUGGUGGUUAUGGUGGUGGUGGUUAUGGUGGUGGUGGCAGUGGUGGUGGUUAUGGCGGUGGUGGUUAUGGUGGUGGUGGUGGUUAUGGUGGUGGUGGUUAUGGCAGUGGUGGUGGUUAUGGUGGUGGUGGUUUUGGCGGUGGUAGUGGUUACGGGGGUGGCGGUGGUGGUUACGGCGGUGGUGGACAUGGCGGCGGUGGACAUGGUGGUGGUGGAUAUGGCGGUGGCGGUGGUGGUGGUGGCGGCAGCGGCGGCGCGGCGGCGGCGGCCAUGGUGGUUAUCAAAUCGCCAUUCAUCAUGGAAAAGGUUACAGAAGGAGGAGGUGAGAGAGAGGUGAGAGAGACCCAGAUGCCCUCACUCUACUCCUCCUCUUCUCCCCUCUCCCUACCACCACCAGCACCUCCAGGCCAAACCCCGCUUCCUCCCCUCUCCCAUCUCUCCUCCCCUUAUCUGUUCUUAUUGUUCAUCCAAAAAAUGUCUUGAAUAAAAUGGUGUAAUAA